rnacentral:misc_RNA from 1 species
AAGUCGUAACAAGGUUUCCGUAGGUGAACCUGCGGAAGGAUCAUUAAUACGUAUCCAACGUUAAACCCCCCCUGUGAACUUUUACACUUGCUUCGAAGCGCGCUGGAAUUGCAAUCCCUGGUAAAUCAUUGUUGAACAGGUUUUGAUUCAGGGACCUCAGUUCUGGAGUAGCCUAGUUGAGCGAUCGUGCGCAAGUAACCUGGUUUCCCCAAGCAGUCAGUGUCUGAAAGUGUCAUUGAUUGUAAGGAUAACGCUUUUCGGUCACUGGAGGUCGACAGCGGCCGGUGGACAGGUUGCAGUCGUAGGAAACUACUGGGCAACAAACGAACAACUGUUAACAAUGGAUAUCUUGGUUCUC